rnacentral:rRNA from 1 species
GACAGCGGCGGCAAGCGUUGCUCGGAUUCACUGGGCUUAAAGGGCGCGUCGGCGGCUUUGUAAGUCUAAGGUGGAAUUCCACAGCUCAACUGUGGAACUGCCUUGGAAACUGCAAAGCUUGAGUCAGGUAGAGGAGGGCGGAAUUCCCGGUGUAGCGGUGAAAUGCGUAGAUAUCGGGAGGAAGGCCGGUGGCGAAGGCGGCCCUCUGGGCCUGUACUGACGCUGAGGCGCGAAAGCGGGGGGAGCAAACAGG